UACGUCGCUUGUUUGGGUACAUGAAGUCAAGUAGAGCAACAACCUUUACCUGGUCAAGCUCAUUCAUUAUUGACUGAGUUUAGUACCGCAUGGGGACGAACUCGUUGGGAUCGGAGUGUUCAUGCGUUUAGUGGAAGACGUGAUUUUUGGAGGCACUUUUGGGGGAACGAGUUUAUGGAGUGUGACGAGCAGUGGAGGUAGUUGGCGUUAGCUCACUUGCAGCAGCAGCUAGCUGUCGGCUUCAGUCCUCUCGGGUCGCUUAUAUAAACAAAACGUGUAGCACUCACCGAAAGUUGUUUCGUAUGUUUGCAAUUAAUCUGUCACAAAAGUUUUCUGUAACUUUGUGUACUGUUCAUUGUUUUUAAUCCUAAACUUGGGCAGUGUUGUGCUUAAAUAUCUUGUCAGCCCUUACGAAAAAGUAGUAUAUGCAAGUAUACUUCAAGUAUACUUCUAGUUUACUUUUUAUAUACUUAUAAGUACUAUUUUUUGGUAAGGGAGUGAACUAACUCAAACAGAAAUGAAGCUUUAUAAGCUGGUCCUGAGGAUUUGACGAACUGACUGUUGGGUGGAGCACAAACAUUUUAUAAUUGUGCCUCAAAUGAAAACGUAUGUAACUUGUUCUGCCUUCUUCGUGCUGUAAAGGUGAUAAAGACGCAUGACUGUUAUUAAACACUACUGGUGUUUACAAGGGAUCACACCGUUCCUGUUUUGGGGCUUUCCAAGGACAAAAAUGGGAGACGGUGUCCUUUUUGAUCGAUUGUUACAUGACCCACAAUGGGUCUUAACCUACUUUAGAUGGUCAGCAGUGAGAGAAGGGUGCAUGUUCAACGUUGGUUUGAAGACAUCAGGAUGUGAUUUCUGAACAGGAUGGGCAGCUGAAUCUGCUUUUGUCAGACUAUAUGUGAACAUUGCAGUCGUCUUAUGUUUUUCCUCAUUAGGAGAAUAUGGAGCCAGGAGCCCUGUCUCACCAGAAUGAGCUUUAUGUCCACCCACUUUCUAACCCAGGGGCUGUGGGCAUCUUCCCCGAGAUGCUGGAGGUGGCAGAGGAGGCCAAUCGAGCUGGAGACUUCAACCUGGCCAUAGAGAUCUAUAGUUCCCAACUUGCAGAUCUGCAGCAGCCGGACCGGGGGUUGUUGCUGAGGAAGGCUGAGUCUCUGGUCCGGGCUGGGCGGAUUCCUGAGGCACUGGAUUCUUACUGCACCACAGCCAGACUGGGCAGAAUACGGCCAGAGGAACUGUCUCUCCUGGUUGAAACCAUUGCGCAUACUGUCCGUGAGAAAGAGUUUAACCCUUUUGCUCAUGGUACUGAUGGGAACUUUGCAGAGGACGAUGGCCUGGAUUUGUUUUCUUGCCCUGUCUGCAAAUGUUUGCUCUAUGAGCCGACAACUGUGGAAUGUGGACACACAUUCUGCAAAAGUUGCUUGGAGACUGCUACUAUAAAAGAUUGUGUCAACUGCAAAAGCAAACUGAAUAAGGAUGGACUGGUACUGCCUCAUCCUUUGAGAAUUAAUGUUGUUCUCAGCAGUCUCUUAGAAAAACUAUUUCCGUUUGAGAGCAAAGCCAGGAAGUUUUGGAUCGAGGGAGAGGUUUUGUGGAAAAAGAAGAACCUUAAGGAUGCCUUAGAGAAAUACAACACAGCCGUGGAUCUUGUGCCUUCUUCAAGCAGAUUGCUGUGUCAGAGGGCAGAGUUGCACAUGGAGAUGAUGAGCUUUAGUCAGGCGGUGCAAGAUACCAGUAGCCUUUGCAGGAUGAAACCUCUUUGGGCCAAGGCUCACUAUCUUAAAGCCACUGCACUGAGUAGAGCAGGCCAGAAUGAUGAAGCCUUGCAGGAAUAUUUUAAAUGUGUGGCUCUUAAGCCUGAUUGGACCAAAGUCAAGGUAGAGGCUCAAAAGGUUCUCAGUGAGCUGUUUUCCUCCAUGUAUGAUGAGGAAGAUUUGCCACUGCAUCAUCUGCAAGGUGGGUUGUCUGCCCUUCUCAUCAAACCUCCAGCCUUGCUCAUGUCUCUGAGGCCACACAUGCAGAGACCAGGCUCUUCAUCUCAGGAAUCAGAGUUCAGUGUAACUAAAAGUAGCCCAGCAGCCGAUUCUUCUUCCUGGCUCCCCACUCUGACUCCUAAAUCAGAUGCUGCUGCCGGGAAGUGCAGCAUGAAAGUCGGUGUUCUUGCUACACUGCCAGCACCUCCAGGUGACCAUAAGAGAAAAUUGAGUGGUGAAGGCCUUGCAACGACCUUCAUGCCCCCCUCCAAAAUUCUCAAAUCUGCAAGCAGCUGUCAGGCAGCUGAGGUGUUUAGAGGAGAGACGGCCUCUUCUGCUGUGCUUCUGGACAGUAGUGACCUGGAGUGUUCACUGUGCAUGAGAUUAUUCUAUGAACCAGUGGCCACAUCCUGUGGACACACCUUCUGUCUAAAAUGUCUGGAGCGCUGUUUGGACCACAACCCCAAUUGCCCUUUGUGCAAAGAGAAUCUGUCAGAGUUUCUCGCCACUAGGGGCUACAACAAAACCCUGCUGAUGGAGCACAUACUGCAGUGUUACCUGGGAGAUGAGUUGGCAGACAGGAAGAAGAUCCAUGAGGAGGAGCUGAAGGAGCUCUCCAACUUGAACCAGGAAGUGCCCAUCUUUGUGUGCACUGUCGCCUUCCCCACCAUUCCCUGCCCAUUGCAUGUUUUUGAGCCACGCUACCGCCUCAUGAUCCGCAGAUCCAUGGAGACUGGAACCAAGCAGUUUGGCAUGUGUAUUUCUGAUGAGCUCCAAGGCUUUGCUGACUAUGGCUGCAUGUUGCAGGUGCGAGAUGUGAAGUUCUUUCCUGAUGGUCGUUCUGUGGUUGACACUAUCGGAGUAUCACGGUUCAAGGUAGUCAGCCAUGGCCAGAGAGAUGGCUACAACACUGCCAAGAUAGAGUACCUGGAAGAUAAGAAGGUGGAUGGGGACAACCUGUUGGAGCUUCUGAAGCUGCACGACUCUGUGUAUGAGCAGGCCAACAGCUGGUUCACAUCCUUGAAAGACAAUAUGAAGAGCCAGAUUCUCAGCCACUUUGGACGCCUUCCGAGCAAAGACUUCGACCCACAGGGAACUCCUGAUGGACCAGCCUGGUGCUGGUGGCUGCUUGCUGUCCUUCCACUGGAAAAUCGAGCACAGCUCACCAUCCUGGCCAUGACCUCCCUCAAGGACAGACUCAUUGCCAUCCGCAGGGUCCUCAUAUUUGUCACACGCAAGAGGCCCCGGUGAUGACCAGAAACGCGGGCAUUUAGGCAGUUCAGUGAAUCAUUUAUUUACUUAUAUUUAAUGUGUUCACUCACUCCUUUAAACAUUAUUCCCAUGCUCUUGAAACUUGGUGUC